rnacentral:rRNA from 1 species
UACGAAGGGGGCUAGCGUUGCUCGGAAUCACGGGGCGUAAAGCGCACGUAGGCGGCUUGUUAAGUCAGGGGUGAAAUCCUGGAGCUCAACUCCAGAACUGCCUUUGAUACUGGCGAGCUUGAGUCCGGGAGAGGUGAGUGGAACUGCGAGUGUAGAGGUGAAAUUCGUAGAUAUUCGCAAGAACACCAGUGGCGAAGGCGGCUCACUGGCCCGGUACUGACGCUGAGGUGCGAAAGCGUGGGGAGCAAACAGG